rnacentral:rRNA from 1 species
AACGGCCGCGGUAUCCUAACCGUGCAAAGGUAGCAUAAUCACUUGCCUAUUAAUUGUAGGCUAGAAUGAAAGGGUUAACGAAAUAAAGACUGUCUCAAUUAAUUACCUAAAAAUUAUUAUUUACCUGAAGAAAGGUAAAUAAACUCGAAGGACAAGAAGACCCUAUAGAGCUUAAUUUUAUUUAUAGAUUUAUACUAUAAACAAUAUUCGGUUGGGGCGACCCUGGGCUUAAUAAUCACCCAAUAAAUAAAAGAUACCUUAAUCUAAUAAAUGACCCUUUAAAGAUCAAGAGACCAAGCUACCUUAGGGAUAACAGGCUAAUCCCACUCAAGAGUCCUUAUCAACAGUGGGGUUUGGCACCUCGAUGUUGGCUUAGG